rnacentral:rRNA from 1 species
UACGGGGGGGGGGCAAGCUUGUUCGGAAUUACUGGGCGUAAAGGGCUCGUAGGCGGCCAACUAAGUCAGACGUGAAAUCCCUCAGCUUAACUGGGGAACUGCGUCUGAUACUGGAUGGCUUGGAUUCGGGAGAGGAAUGCGGAAUUCCAGGUGUAGCGGUGAAAUGCGUAGAUAUCUGGAGGAACACCGGUGGCGAAGGCGGCCAUCUGGACCGCAACUGACGCUGAGGCGCGAAAGCGUGGGGGAGCAAACAGGG